CUUACAAGGACGGAAAGAUGGCCACCAGAGCCGCGCUCCUGAUCGCCUUUCUAUUGCUGUCGACCAACAUGCUCGUUUCCGUGGUGGCAUCCCGAGAAGUUCCAUCGACAGAUCCGAUCAAUCCAGCAAACUCAUUUCUGGGCGGAACUGGUCGCAAAGUCACAAUGUCAGUCACGUGUGGAGAAGACGCGGGAGGUGCUCCCAGGCGGAACUGGUGAGGGUGUCAGGGAUAUUUCCCAGGAGAAGAUCAUUUUCGGUGCGCCCAAUAAUUUUGUCUGGCCGACGCGCCUUCCGCCGUGCAGCGCACGAGCAUGAUAAAGAAGUCCAUAUGCUAUCAAGAGCUUUGCUUCGCAUACCGAUGAUUAAGAACGCCACUCAGAAGGCCUAAUCCUUUUUUUCAUGAUGUACUCCCUCCGUCCGAAAAUACUUGUCGGGAAAAUGCAAAAAAUAAAUGUAUCUAGAACUAAAAUACGUCUAGAUACAUUCAUUCCCCCGACAAGUAUUUCCGGACGGAGGGAGUACUAGUUGAACGGCUAAUCUUCGCCGAUGGCUUAAAUAAACACGCACGCUUCUUUAUCA